GAAGAAAAAAAAAAAAAAAAGGAUUUGUGGAAACUAGUAUUUUCCUGGUAAAGGAGUUGCUUAAUGAAUGGUUUUCUCUCAAAGGAAGUUUUGGCAGGAAGCCUUUGGCCAGCUCACUGGGAAAUGGAAGCUGCCUUUGUUACCAGAAAUACAAUUUGGCCACACAGGGAACAGAAAAAGUAAGUGGCCUGGCAGCACCAGGAAGAAGCAAGGAACUGAGCCUGGGGCCUGCUGAGGUGGGGCUGUGGGUCUGGGUGUAGUGAUGCAGUGGUGAGAGGUAACACCCUAGAGGCACAGGGUCAACUCUGGAAGACUGUCUUCAAUUGAAUAUCCUAUCUAAUUCCUGAAGCUUCUUCUGAACUGCUGUGUGGCUCUCAGACUUGAAGCCAGUGUCGUUGGACCUUGUUUACACAUUGAAGUAUAUAAACUUUCAUCAGUCAAGCUUCUUAUCCUACGUCGGAUGGGUAUGUUGGAAAGAAAGUUGAAAGGGCUGAAAACAAAGGAGACGACUUCAGACCUGAAAUUUUCAUCCUCAUUGACUGAUCAUCUAAAAUGUAUGAACAUUUCUUUCAAGAAGAGCAGAAGAGU